CUGAGGGACCAUGGAGGGGGUCCCACCCCCAGGAGCACUGGGGGGCCCUCUGUGAUACCAGAGGAACAGGCACUGAGAGACCCCGUGUGGGACCUGCUGUGGGACGGGGACACUGAGGCGUCCCUGGCCUGGGAACACCAAAGGACCCCCUGUGAGGUGAGGUGACACUGUUGAGUCCGAGCUCGACAGAGGCUGUGAAGGCCCUGCUGUGGUACAGGGUCCCUGCUCAGAGGGUGCUGAGGAGGACACCGUGAAUGAGGGUGUUGAUUCCCCUCACGGCAGCUGCCCUAUGGCCCGGCAGCAUUCCUGGGGCAGACGGAAGGACCAGCUCUGAGCAGGAGGUGCCCUGAGUGCAUAACCACGCCCGUGAGAUGGUGAUGGAGACCCUCCGUCACCCUAAAGGGCUCACAGCCCCAUCUCUGUACUGACAAAAAGGUGUUUAGUGCCGCUCUUGCAUGGUCUCCCCGCUAGGAAAGUGCCUCAGACUUGCAUUUAAUGGCAGUCCAGGUCUCUAGCAGAGUUUCCAUUUGCUGCGCAGAGAUUGCCAAGAUCAACGUUUCCCUGUGACAUGAUGAGAGAAAUAAUGCAAGUAGCUUCUGUGAUCUCCUCUACUCGUGGCCAAUUUAUGGUCCUGGACUGGUUUUUUUUUUCGGAAGGAAAGGCUGUUCUCCUCCCUUACCUGGGCCUCUAGCUCAGAUGCCCGGUCUGAAGGAGCUAUUCUCCUAUAAUUUUUGAUAAGGUGCCCCAGAGUCCUGUUUUUGAGGUUCACGGCUGCCUGGCCGUCAGCCAAGAGCAAAAGUGGUGAUUCUGAAAGGAAGGGAAAAUGAUGAUCUAUAACAGGGCAGACCGAUUCUUUGAGAGCCUGUUCAGGGAAAGAGCUAUGCUUUCGCCGUACCUCCUCUGUAUUUCCUUUGCAAUCGCUUCUCAAAGGAUCUCUAAGUGAGCUGGAGAUCAGAAGGGUGUAGGAGAACAACUCUCACUUUUAUGCGCUCUGUGUGCCAUGAGGGGAAGGAGCGAUGUCCCUUGGUGGGUUCUUCUUCUCAGCAGCAUUUUGACCAUGUUUGCUAGAGCCCACCUUGGGAAAGCACGGUUGCUAAGGGUGAGCAAAUGAUCUUCUCAAUAGCUAUGCGCGUUUUAAAAUAAUGGAUAUCUCUCGUUUAACUUUCUAUACUUUUUAUUCUAGAAGUUCACAGGAUGGCCAGGAGGAGCAGCCAAACUUCUGUGACUGGAGCCGAAUCAAUACACUGAAUGCAUGGUAACGAAGUACACAAAGAUGUAUGACUCAUAGCUCGGCAAUGUCACACUUGUGUAAUCUUUCAAUGUAAACUCUUUUCCUCUAAUAAAAUCUUAGUAAGUGUACGAUACGUAUAUAUGGAGCUGUGAGUCAGCCAAGAAAAUAUACUCUGAUGAAUUCAGAAUGAAUGCGAAUGUUCCCCAGAUAACACACCCCGAAUGGCUGUGUCAGUUUAUGUGCUUGAGGUUUCAGCAACAGCUAUAACCAAAUAUUUUGUUUCUAGGAUAUACAACUGUACGUGUCCAUCGCGUUGGGAGCUCCAGUCGGAUGCUCUCUUCCAGUAGGCACCGCAAGGACGUUUGUUUGUAGCACUGUGAGGAUUCUGUCACCCAAAUGUGUUUUUCUCGUUGCGUGGAGGAAAUAUUUAGUGGGUAGCAAGGAUGAAAGCCAAGCGCACCAAAUAAUACGUUCACUGCUUUUAGUUUCUUUCUGGUUUCAAAUAGAGCAGCGAAGCUAAAAGCUGAUCGCUCUGCUAAACCUGGUGAGACCAAUGUGAGAUUUAUUUACAUUGUGAGUCACUCGUUCUGUACAACUUGGGUACAAUUUACCAUGACCUUCCACUUGGUCUGUGAUCCUCGUGCUGACGUUUUCUGGCUUUUUGCUCUGUGUAAGGCUUAUUUUAAAUAUCUGAACCCAGGAGCCUGGCACUGAUCUCACUCACGGCAGCCCAGAUCAGGAGUGAUGCCACUGGUGUAUAAAUGUGAAGAAUGUGAGAUUAGAAAGUAUUUGUUAAUAUGCUGUGGAUAGAGGAGAGCUAAAUGAUGUGUGAUUUGUCUUCCAGCCAAAGCAAACACAGGCUGAACCAUUUUUCUAUGGCAAAGUUGAUUUUUCUAGGUGUUGCUGCUGAUCUCUGUUGUUGCUUUUACACCAAGAGAAGCGUUUGAAGGGCUUGCAAACAAGAUUCUACACGUUAAUAGAAGGCUCGAAGCUGGGGGGAUGGACUGUGACACACUGCAGCUGGAUGGGCUGGUGAGUGCCCAAGUCACCUGGCUGCUAGAGCACUCUGAGUCAUUACAGAACUCAAACAAACAAACAAAAAACUCCUUUCUCAUGAGAUUGUUCUCAGAAAAGUCCUGGCUGCAUGUAGAGCAAACGUAAUCCUACCGGGGUAAAUGAGCUGAGAGUGAGACCUCUUAGCCCCGAGGUUCCAAAGCACCAGUAACACUGGGAGCAAGCACUUCAUAUUCAAAUGGGACCAGCAACAGGGAGGAUUCCCCUGCCCAGCACCUCCAGUUGCCGCAGUUCUGUUGCCUAUACGGGUUUUUUGUUGCCAAUUUAAACUGCAAAUUCAGAUUGAGUGCCUUUUAGAAGCUGCUCUCAAGGAAGUUGAUCGAAUGAUGUAAACAACCACAUGAAAUGAAAAACAUAGAUGUGUUUUGGAGUGUCUUUAUUUGAGGUCAUUGUUAACGACGUUGAAUGAAAUUGGACUCACAUAACUCGUCGGUAUGCAAAAUAUGUAUGGCCCCAGCCUGCUCUGAAUUACACCCAAGCAAACCGUUGAAACUUAAAGGGAAUUGAAAAUAUGCAUGAGUAAGGAAAACAAAUGGAGCCCUCAAUCUGCAAAGUGCUUGGAGACCUUUAGAAGAUGGUACUUUUUGUUACCUGUGCCCUGGGGAUAGGGAGGGGAGAGGAUCUGACACAACUUGGGAUUACUGAAAACUGUGUUUUUAUCAGUGCUUUUGAUAAAUCGAAGGGGUUGUAGCAGCCAAGGUCCCACACUGGUGUCCUAGAUUAGCAACAAUUAAUUAAAAACUCCAAUGGAAAAAAAAAAUCUUCAAGCCGGUGGCUUUUCAGGGAUCAACUGUUGUGUUGUUUUGCCAAGAGCAGUAACAAACCCGACGUGAACAGACAUGAAAGGACUUUCUAGAAGUGGUUGGCUGCGAUAAUUCCACUCAGGAAGCCGGUGAAGAGCAGCAGAGAUCGGCUGCCCUCGCCUUGGCCGUCUCCCUUCCCCACGUAUAUAAAAGACGGGGAAUUGGUUUAGCUUUGUAGUGUUUGUUGACUUGGACGCAUGGACCUGGGCUGCUGAAUCCUGGGAGAGAAGGCUUUUUACAUACUUUAUAAUCCGUUCUGACUAUUUUCAGAUUGACUAUUGAACCACAGUGGAAGUGUAUGGAGUCAAGAUAUUUCUGGUGAUUGUGUAACUGGAAAAAACUGUCCUGAUUUUAAAGUAUUUUUGGCAUACAAGUGAAAGUAAAUAAGCAAUUUUAGAGACUCACUGGAAAAUAAUUGCUCCUGUAGGACGCUGGCUGUGCCAGGAACUCUGGCAGAUGCUCUGAGCCCUCACUAUUAAGCUUCGAAUGAAAGCAUAUUUUUUAAUGCAAAAGAUCAAACCCGAGGAUAUAUAAUCUAAAAUGUAAGGAAUUUUGAAAGAACGGAAGCCUGCGAAGGGAAAUGUCUACACAUAUGAAGUGCAUUAGGAAUGAAUACGAUGGAAGAAAAGCCUGAUAAGCUCCAGAGGCACCUUGGCACAAGCCCGAGCUGUGGUGGUGGUGACACGGCCAAGAUGUUGGCAUCAAGAGCCCAGAGCCAUGGUCUGGGGAUGGAGCCGCCUUCCUCCACGGCUCUGCUGGUGACACACAAACCACUGGGUUAUCCCAGGUGAUCUUGGGCUGAUCCGCCCUGCUCGAGCUCGGAUCAGCUGAAUUGAUGAUGAUGAUACGGGAGGGCAAAAGCAAGAGCAGUAUCUUGUUUGGGGCAGCAGAGAACCUCCGGGACGGCAGCCUUUAGAUAGGAACAGUCUGUCCCUGCACUUCCAUCCAGUGAUUCAUCGGUGAGUAGGGAAGACUCAUAAAAGCACCACUGUCAGCUCGUGUGUCAUUAAAGGAAGUGUUCUGCUUUUUUUCUUUCCUAAACAAGAAGUUUACAAAGUAUUAUUUUGCACUGCCUCCGUGCUGCGAGCUGGCAUUUCAAAGCCUGAAACUACUGCCCUUUGUUGUUGCUUUCCUCGCUCCUCUCGAAGCUGGAAUUGAACCCACCAGGCUGUUCUGCAGCCUCUGCACUGUCGGUUCUCCCCACAACUCCUCUAUAUAAAGCUCCGCUCUCGGCUCCAGCAGCUUCACAGUCGCUCAGCAAACCUCAAGGGGCUGUGGACGGCCACAUACUCUGCGCUGAAGGACACGAGUGGCUUUGAAACUGAAGCCACCUGCAGAAAAACUUCAAGAGAUGUGUUUGCCCAAUUCUCUCCUUCCCCCAAGUUUUGUUUUUCUUUUUUUUUUAACUCUUGAGCUGCCCUUUCCCUGGGUUCCCAGCCUGA